GACGAACGCUGGCGGCGUGCCUAAUACAUGCAAGUCGAGCGAAGUUUUUCUGGUGCUUGCACUAGAAAAACUUAGCGGCGAACGGGUGAGUAACACGUAAAGAACCUGCCUCAUAGACGGGGACAACUAUUGGAAACGAUAGCUAAUACCGGAUAACAGCAUAAAUCGCAUGAUAUAUGUUUAAAAGUUGGUUUCGGCUAACACUAUGAGAUGGCUUUGCGGUGCAUUAGCUAGUUGGUGGGGUAAAGGCCUACCAAGGCGACGAUGCAUAGCCGACCUGAGAGGGUAAUCGGCCACACUGGGACUGAGACACGGCCCAGACUCCUACGGGAGGCAGCAGUAGGGAAUCUUCCGCAAUGGGCGAAAGCCUGACGGAGCAACGCCGCGUGAGUGAAGAAGGAUUUCGGUUCGUAAAGCUCUGUUGUUAGGGAAGAAUGAUUGUAUAGUAACUAUAUACAGUAGAGACGGU
rnacentral:rRNA from 1 species